UGGGGAAUAUUGGACAAUGGAGGCAACUCUGAUCCAGCAAUUCUGUGUGUGUGAAGAAGGUUUUAGGACUGUAAAACACUUUUAGUAGGGAAGAAAAAAAUGACGGUACCUACAGAAGAAGCGACGGCUAAAUACGUGCCAGCAGCCGCGGUAAUACGUAUGUCGCGAGCGUUAUCCGGAAAUAUUGGGCUUAAAGGGCAUCUAGGCGGUUAAACAAGUUGAAGGUGAAAACCUGUGGCUCAACCAUAGGCUUGCCUACAAAACUGUAGAACUAGAGUACUGGAAAGGUGGGUGGAACUACACGAGUAGAGAUGAAAUUCGUAGAUAUGUGUAGGAAUGCCGAUGAUGAAGAUAACUCACUGGACAGCAACUGACGCUGAAGUGCGAAAGCUAGGGGAGCAAACAGG
rnacentral:rRNA from 1 species